UACGAGGGGGGCGAGCGUUGUUCGGAAUUAUUGGGCGUAAAGGGUGCGUAGGCGGUUCCGCAAGUCCUGUGUGAAAUCUUCGGGCUCAACUCGAAGUCUGCACGGGAAACUGCGGGGCUUGAGUGUGGGAGAGGUGAGUGGAAUUCCCGGUGUAGCGGUGAAAUGCGUAGAUAUCAGGAGGAACACCGAUGGCGAAGGCAGGUCUCUGGGCAUUAACUGACGCUGAGGAGCGAAAGCAUGGGGAGCGAACGGG
rnacentral:rRNA from 1 species